GAGGUGAUAUCAAGCAACGACGCACCAAAUUAGGAAAACCUCAGGCAUGAAACCACAGCAGUCCUGGCCACGCUCUGUGGACAGCAGCUUUGCCCCACUCAAGGAAAAGCUGUUGACAAGGUGCAACCACCAGGACAUGAGUGAGGACAGGACCCAAGACCCCUAAAAGGACAGCGCUGGGAGCCCCGUGAAGUCAUCAUCACAGGUCACUGUGCAUUCCAGCAGCCCCAUCAACCAAAGGAAUAAGUGACAAAGGGGAGGAAUGAGUGUUUAUUAAGGUGUAUUGUGGACUGCGUGCCAAGCACGCCAGAACUUCCCAGCCGGCUGCAGCGUGCGCUCCUGUCCGCGUUUCCCGCCCGAGCAGCUGGAGGCUCAGCGAGCUAUGUGCCCAGCGUCUCCAGCUAGCAAGUAAGAGGAACAGAAUUUGAACUUGCUCGACCUGACUCCAGAGUCUGCACAUUUUUCCCUGCCGAGCACUAUCUCACUGUAAGCCACUUUAGAUCAUCAGAUGGGAAAAAGGACGAUGCAGGGAGUGAGCGGGACUCCCUCAAAUCACUGCUUUAGAUUUCUCUCUUCCACAUCUGGGUCUCCUCCCUAAAGGCCCCCCCUUCUCUGUGCCCUGGCCAAGGGCAGGCAGAUGGGUGCUUGCCUCUUCUGCUCAGGCUCCGAUUGCAGCCGGAGGAGCCUCUUCCCGGACUCGCUCCGGGCCCCAAGGUGCCCCCGCCCCCUCCCCUGGUCCUCCCUCUCCUCCUCGGGGCACCGGAUUUCCAGCGACCUUCAGAUCUGAUACAUGGAACGUCCCCAAAGGAUGCUCCCAUUGACAUUGAGCGUGCUGCUGUGUGGAGCUCAGCAAUAAAAGGGGGAAAUUAACAGGCAUUUAAAUUCUAAAAUUAAUGAUGAGAGGGCAGAGUCUUCAGAACAUCUGUUUCCAGCAUUUUCAAGGGGGUCUUCCAUUGCUGCCGGCACUCAGCCGUGUGUGGCGAUCAGCAGUUAAGUGGGACUCUGCACAUCUGUGGCUGGAGGCCAGGGGCUGGACAGUGUGGCUCAGUCCCUGUACCCAUGUGCCCUGUGGCUCGCUCUGAACAUUGUGUCCCCUGCAUGUUGGGGUCCCAGCCUGUGGGCUGGCUUCCAUGAGCCUGUAUGGAAAACCUGAGUCUGUCUUUUUCCAGGAGUAAGAGCUCUGGGAAACUGAGGGUGCAACAAAGAAGUCCUCAUGCCAAAGAAGGGGACUUGAUCCUUCCUAGAUUUAUACUGCCCAAUGUGGCAGCCACCAGCAACAUGUAGCCACGGAGUACCCGAAACAUGGCCCGUCUGAACUGAGAUGUGCUGCACAUGUAAACAUACCCACUGGAUUUCGAAGACUCAUUUUUAUAUUGAUUAUGUUGAUGAAAUGAUAAUAGUUUGGAUAUAUUGGGUUAAAUGAAAUAUAUUUUUAAAGUUAAUUUCAGUGGUUACAUUUUACUUUCUUUUUAACGUAGCUACUACAGAUUCAAAAUUACAUAGGUGGCUCACACACUUCUAUAAGACACUUUUGCUUUAGAGUUUGUUUUACCUUGGUGUUUCUCUGUGCAUGGCAGUUUCCACCCCUGGAAGACCUUUUGGAAAUUUUGGGAAAUUCUUUGAUAUCGCAUUGACCAGAGGAGGAGCUUACCAACAGUACAGUGUUGGGCACGAGGAAUGUGGGACGUCUCACACUUACCGCUGCAAAGCAAUGCAGCGCAACAGAAGAAUUAUCCCACGACCUGCAUCAUUUUGAAUAUCCCGACAGACAUUAGGUAGUCGAAAAAUUGGUUAUAUUAAUAUUUAUCUGAGCCUAGAUCAAACUCCAUUUUAUAA